UCCAGCAGUAGUCAGCCGUCCGGACAGAACCGUUCCUGUGAUGGUGUUACACUGCUGGGAGAGUAAUGUCUUGUCUUCAUCUGGUUGCCUCCACCACUGUUCUGGUGGCGUCUGGCACUGGUGCAAGACAGAGCUGUGCUUCCCUGAGAGUGUGCUAAGCAUUCACUUUGGCUGCUUAGUUCUAGUCUGGGAGCAGACAAA
rnacentral:snoRNA from 2 species